rnacentral:lncRNA from 1 species
AAGUCUUUUACCAACCUCUGCACGAAGCCGUUCAAAACAUACAUCUACUAACGGUAGAACGAUCCCUGACUACCACGGUGAAUGACAAUCAACUUCCAUUUCAAACUAAUGACCAUGGUCGUACAGUGCCACUGUGGUAAUAUAUACCAUCGUGAAUCCAUUCUCAUAAAAGGAAAUGCCAAUUCUAUUUCCAUAUUUAUUUCAAAUUUAAUCCAAUUAUUAUAGCAGAGAAAAUCUAGUGAAUAGAUUAUAUAACCAAGUAGAGAGAACAAAUAGCCAAUGUCAUAAGUAGGCGUAUUAAGUUACAUUAGGCAUAUAAGAACAUAUCAGGUAUUUAAUAGAAACCAAAUAAAUGAAAUAUUCAAUACCUCAAAAUAAGCAGAACAACCAUCAUACAAAAUCAUCAUAGAAUACCAACUAAGUAUCAUGGUCGUGUUUUAUUUAAGUCUUUUACCAACCUCUGGACGAAGCCGUUCAAAACAUACAUCUACUGACGGUAGAACGAUCCCUGACUACCACGGUGAAUGACAAUCAACUUCCAUUUCAAACUAAUGACCAUGGUCAUACAGUGCCACUGUGGUAAUAUAUACAAUCGUGAAUCCAUUCUCAUAAAAGGAAAUGCCAAUUCUAUUUCCAUAUUUAUUUCAAAUUUAAUCCAAUUAUUACAGCAGAGAAAAUCUAGUGAAUAGAUUAUAUAACCAAGUAGAGAGAGCAAAUAGUCAAUGUCAUAAGUAGGCGUAUUAAGUUACAUUAGGCAUAUAAGAACAUAUCAGGUAUUUAAUAGAAACCAAAUAAAUGAAAUAUUCAAUACCUCAAAAUAAGCAGAACAACCAUCAUACAAAAUCAUCAUAGAAUACCAACUAAGUAUCAUGGUCGUGUUUUAUUUAAGUC